GGGGUCGUUACGGAUUCGACAGGCAUUAUGAGGUAGAUUCUGCAACUCGGGUGACGGCGUAACCGUUCAGUUAAAUAUAACUGCAAAAAAUAACACUUCUUACGCUUUAGCUGCCUAAAAACCAGCGGGCGUGACGUCUCUGGAAUUGCUUGUGUUUCAGUAGAGGUCUUAUUUGAGCAAGCUACGUUUAGCCAUUGUCUAGCUGGCUAAAAAGAGAGUGAUAGACUCGCAAGAUAGGGGCUUGAGCCAUGUGUCACUAGCUUGUUAAACCAAGACAUGGCCUAUGGUUGUAGACGAAUCUGUUGGCAGGUGUUUGGACGUGGGUUCGACUCCCACCGGCUCCAUUA
rnacentral:tmRNA from 1 species